UACGUAGGGUGCAAGCGUUGUCCGGAAUUAUUGGGCGUAAAGAGCUCGUAGGCGGUUUGUCGCGUCUGCUGUGAAAAUCCGGGGCUCAACCCCGGACUUGCAGUGGGUACGGGCAGACUGGAGUGUGGUAGGGGAGACUGGAAUUCCUGGUGUAGCGGUGGAAUGCGCAGAUAUCAGGAGGAACACCGAUGGCGAAGGCAGGUCUCUGGGCCACUACUGACGCUGAGAAGCGAAAGCAUGGGGAGCGAACAGG
rnacentral:rRNA from 1 species